rnacentral:rRNA from 1 species
CCUACGGGUGGCAGCAGUGGGGAAUAUUGCACAAUGGGGGAAACCCUGAUGCAGCGACGCCGCGUGAGUGAAGCAGUAUUUCGGUAUGUAAAGCUCUAUCAGCAGGGACGAAAAAAGACGGUACCUGACUAAUAAGCACCGGCUAACUACGUGCCAGCAGCCGCGGUAAUACGGAGGAUGCGAGCGUUAUCCGGAUUUAUUGGGUUUAAAGGGUGCGCAGGCGGAAGAUCAAGUCAGCGGUAAAAUUGAGAGGCUCAACCUCUUCGCGCCGUUGAAACUGGUUUUAUUGAGUGAGCGAGAAGUAUGCGGAAUGCGUGGUGUAGCGGUGAAAUGCAUAGAUAUCACGCAGAACUCCGAUUGCGAAGGCAGCAUACCGGCGCUCAACUGACGCUCAUGCACGAAAGUGUGGGUAUCGAACAGGAUUAGAUACCCCUGUAGUC